UGCCUUUGGUUUAAUUCUAAUGACCAAGCACUGAUGGUUUUUAAAUCACAUUAUUGUAAACUGAAAGGAACAACUGUGUUAAGGUAGGAAUCCACUUUAUGAUGGUGGCUGGGUUUAUCUCUGUGUUGGUGAAAUGUGUAUUGGUGCCUGCAUUCCUGGAUGGAUCUGCCAUUUUAUUAGUAGUAAUGAAAUUGCCCAGGUAGGCAGGCCCACCCGCCCCCAUCCCCCGUUAUCACCAGUUUCACAUUUGCUGCUCUCAGCUCACAUUACAGAUUUAAUAGUCAACCCCUUUGCCCAGAGAACUCUGGUAACCAUAGUUCUGCUUGGGGAGUUCUCACAUAAAAUUUUCAGCACCCCCAGUAAGCUAUGAUUCACAGGAUUCUUUGAAGGGAGCUGGAACAGUAAAAGUGGCAUAAAAGUAAUAAAAAUGUGUAGAUAAUGUCUUCAGUGCCUGUUGGUGGCCCAGUGACGGUUGCCACUUUUCCUUACAAUGCUGCACAUUCCAUGAAUAGGCAUAAGAGGAAAUGGCACCUGGCACUGAGGAACUACCAUUCAUUAGAAGCAGCCGAAAGGGGCACACAGGCAUGGGCUGGGGAAGAUAUUGGAGACCCAGCAAACAGUGGCGUAGCGUGGGGGGUGCAGGGGGGGCCGGGCGCAACAUCUGGGGGGGGGCGCUCGCACUCACAGCUCUCUGCCCCUACUAAAAUCCACGGGUUAGGGGGCGCAAAUUACUUGCCUUGCCUCGGGUGCUGACAACCCACGCUACGCCACUGCCAGCAGAACAAGGGCACUGAUAGCAUCUGAUAAUGGCUGCGGGCUGUCUUUGCAAGGAACAAGGAUAUGAGAAAUGUAGUUGCAAUUGCUAGUGCUCACCACCAGGUGGCACCAUUGCUGAACAGAGGGGAAACAAACAGGCACAAUAAGAGACUUGGAGUUAUAUCCCCCUUAUUAACGUCUCAUUUUGUCCCAUCAGUCAGACUGGGUCAUGUAAUCUGUUAGUGGCAUUUAGUGCAGCCAAGGAGGGGUUUCCUCCCUAGUGAAAGAAGUGCAGAAAUCUGUUUCGUAGCAAUUCUAUACUCUUACCUCUUCAGUAAAUCCCAUUGAAUUUGUUGGGACUUCUGGGUAGAGGGGUGUAGGUUUGCACUGUUACUCAAUGUUACUUGUGAAAAUGUUCUUGCAUUGAAUGCCAGUAAUGCAAAACUGGUUGAAAUCUCCCUUGUGAAACAGCCUGUUACUGACAAGCAAGCACUCUUGCUUCUCCUUACAGCCCCUGCUGCUCUCUCCCCCUCCAAUGUUCCUCCUAAACAGAUCUGCAGUAUCUGGGAGCCCCAUCUGAAGACCCUUAGAAGUACCACUGCUGUGGGUUCCCCCCACCCACCCUUUCCUCUGCCCCUGCCGCAACUCCAACACAUGUCUGGUAGAGCCAACGCGGACGGGGUGGAAAGGGCGAUCUUAACCUAAACUUCAUUGAAUUGCUGUGGAGUCUUAGUCUGCCACACAUCUACACACCACCCUCCCAGGAUAGAGGCUAUUGCCUUUUGCUUUUUAGGUAAGACACACACACACACACACACACACACACACACACACACACAAAAAAAACCCUGAGCUAUGGGGAGAUCUCAUUAUCCUUCACAAACCUUUGGGAGAUCAUUGUAAUGAGCCAGUGUCAGUGAUUUGCUAGUGUCAGUGAUUUGCUAGAGGAAAUGCUUGAGGAAGCUUUGCCCUGCCUACCUGCCACUGAUGGGAUUCACUUUAACAAAAGCUACCCCUUGGCCUUCUCUCCCGUCAAGACGCACUCCUUGCUGGCCUCGCUUCACAAGUGUUUCUGCCAGGUUGGACUGUGUCCUUGAGCUCUAAUAAUGCAUCUAUAAUAAUAAUUUAUUAUUUAUACCCCGCCCAUCUGGCCGGGUUUCCCCAGCCACUCUGGGUGGCUCCCAACAGAUUAAAAACAGAAUAAAACAUUAAACAUUAAAAACUUCCCUAAACAGGGCUGCCUUCAGAGGUCUUCUAAAAGUCAGAUAGUUGUUUAUUUCCUUGACAUCUGGUGGGAGGGCAUUCCACAGGGUGGGCACCACCACCAAGAAGGCCCUCUGCCUGGUUCCCUGUAACCUCACAUCUCGCAGUGAGGGAACCGCCAGAAAGCCCAAGGAGCUGGACCUCAGUAUCUGGGCUGAACAUUGCGGAUGGAGACGCUCCUUCAGGUAUCUUGCUUAGCUGGCUGGAAGAUAGAGAGGUGUCUGAGUAUAUAUGGAAAUUAGCCUACUGUACAAAAGUGAGAUCUGCAUUGACAGUCAUUGCUCUGCUCACUUUUGCAUCUGGCCCUGCCUACCAUUGGCACAUGGCCCACAGAAGUUAAUGCAGGCUGAAAAGCCAUUCCCCACUCCUGCCUUAAUCUCUCCCAAGAUUAACUGACAAAGGCAUGUGAGACAGGAGGCUUAUAUAGGACAACAUGUGUUUACCAUGUGAAAGUACUGUACCUGCAGGGUUAUGCAGAUACUUCACAGAGACAAUGGUGCUACCCAGCUAAAUCCACCACAAUCUUCUACUGUUCCUAUUGGUCCAUGCCUGCUGAGUUAUUUGUCGGGGGUCUUUCUUACUUUGUCCACAAAGCAUGUGCUUUGAUCAUCCAUGGAGGUUCAGUACCAAAAGACUCUUCACCAUGCAGGCAUCCAGCAACGCCCCCAGCUCGAGUACAGUUGUUCUUGAGCAAGAUCGGAGUGUCAAAAAAAUGUACUUGGCCGUGGACAAUAUUCAGAUAAUUCUUCUCAACUUGGUAUUAGAAAGUCAGGAUCUUGCAGGGGCUGGCAACGCUCCAAUUUUCUAGCAACAAGAGGCUGCUCUUCCUCUCCGUGUUCUGUGGCCCAUGUGCCAAUUGCCUGUUUUUUCCACGUAGGCUGAAUUUUUGAUUAUUUUUUUUAACUCCAGCAGAAUGGGAGCCAAAAUGGAGCCUCUCCUCCCGUCACACUUCCCAGCAAAGGGAGAAUCUGGUGCUCCACUGGAGGUGCUUGUGCCGGAGCUCCUCCCUGUAUCGCCAACCCAAACGGUGUGGGGAGGAGCUGCAGAACAAACAUGGCCUUUGGGGCUUCCUAGGACACUCCAGCAGUGGGAAGAAAGCACCCUGCAAGAAGCAGCUCAUAGAGGAGGAAGGAUCUGUUGCUUAAUGACUGAGAGGCAUCUUAGGCCUGGUGGGUCACUGUUUUGGUACUCUCCUCCUGAGCAGCAGCAGGAGGCUUAAGCAGACUCCUUUCUACAGACCAGCAAUAAGAAGUCUUUAGACUAGUGGUUAAGAAACCGCUGGAUUAAAAACAAUCUGGUGAGGACAUUCACAUUUUGACCAGACUAUCCCCUUACCCACUCCUCAGUGCAUUAAAUGUAUAAAACCAUUCAUCCAUAGUUUGUUACCGAUCAAGAUCAGGGUGAGGGCAGCAGGGACACGGCGACAUCAGAAGUAAAUUAACCAAUCACUUUCUUCUUCUCCUGGUCUUAUCAGGUGGCAUUGGAGAGAAGGGCUGUGUAUGUGUCAAAUAUUUUCACUGGUACAUUCACAUCCGUGCUGAGAAUCCGAUAUGCAUAAUCCUUUGUAACAGUAGCACUCUUUACAUUACAGUUUUAAUGGUUUUAUUGUUUAAAACUGCUACAACUACUUACUUUUAUCGAUAUAGCACUUUUUUUUUUAAUCCCAAAGUGCUUCACAGUAUUGGGGUGGGCAAGGGGACUACCAGCAUUAAAGAGUAGGAGUUCUAUAGCAAGGUGUUACCUGCCCAUGUUUGAACUGGUAUCAUAGACAUCACCUGGACUGGCCAGCUCAGCAUCUUCAUGCUACUCGCCUGUCUCGGGAAAUGUUCUCCCUACCUGCACCAAUUACAUACUCUCCCCAAAUAGAAGGAUGAUUAACAACUGGGUGUUUUCCUGCAUCUGAUGGAGGGAGCUCUUCCAGUGCUUCUGACCUAGGAGGAAAUUCUUCUUCCUUAGAACCGGAACAUGAAGCCAUAUCUCUCUAGCCAUUUGGGGAGCCAAAAAUAAAAUCAAGGGUGGAUAUGGAGCCAGCUUUUAAAGUCUGGCUGUUUCAAGGGGCUGGGAAUGAGUUCUCCAAGGAAAAUUCAUAAGCCUUUUGUCUUUUUGUUGUUGUUUAAAGAAAAAGCUCAAAGCCUGUAAAUAAAAGUUUUGUCCCACCACUGUGAGCCUUAAGGAAGAUAAAGCACUAAUUUGUUUUGUUUUAAAUGUUGCUAUCACAGCUUUAAUCACUGUAUAUUGCCCUCAAUUUCAGAGUCAUAUCUGUAGUGCGUACUAUAUUAAUGAAGUUUUAUUGUUAUUUUGCUUUGGUGGAGGAUAUGUGUGGUUGCUUUUCCCCCUACCAUCUGCUUUUCUGAUCUGUAUUUAUAUUUUGUUUUGGAGUGCUGGUGCCAAGAACGCCUCUACUUCUUGUUUUGCUUACCUAGACCUUUUAUUCAUAAGAAAUGUACCUAUAAAAAUAAAUAUAUAAGUAUACUACUUUGUAUCC
rnacentral:lncRNA from 1 species